rnacentral:rRNA from 1 species
UACGUAGGUGGCAAGCGUUGUCCGGAAUUAUUGGGCGUAAAGCGCGCGCAGGCGGUCCUUUAAGUCUGAUGUGAAAGCCCACGGCUCAACCGUGGAGGGUCAUUGGAAACUGGGGGACUUGAGUACAGAAGAGAAGAGUGGAAUUCCACGUGUAGCGGUGAGAUGCGUAGAGAUGUGGAGGAACACCAGUGGCGAAGGCGACUCUUUGGUCUGUAACUGACGCUGAGGCGCGAAAGCGUGGGGAGCAACAGG